AUUGAACGCUGGCGGAAUGCUUUACACAUGCAAGUCGAACGGCAGCACGGGGGCAGCCCUGGUGGCGAGUGGCGAACGGGUGAGUAAUACAUCGGAACGUGCCCGGUCGUGGGGGAUAACGUAGCGAAAGUUACGCUAAUACCGCAUACGAUCUGAGGAUGAAAGCGGGGGACCUUCGGGCCUCGCGCGAUCGGAGCGGCCGAUGUCAGAUUAGGUAGUUGGUGGGGUAAAGGCCUACCAAGCCGACGAUCUGUAGCUGGUCUGAGAGGACGACCAGCCACACUGGGACUGAGACACGGCCCAGACUCCUACGGGAGGCAGCAGUGGGGAAUUUUGGACAAUGGGCGCAAGCCUGAUCCAGCCAGUCCGCGUGCAGGACGAAGGCCUUCGGGUUGUAAACUGCUUUUGUACGGAACGAAAAGGCUCUGGCUAAUACCUGGGGCUCAUGACGGUACCGUAAGAAUAAGCACCGGCUAACUACGUG
rnacentral:rRNA from 1 species